rnacentral:rRNA from 1 species
UCCAGACUCCUACGGGAGGCAGCAGUGGGGGAUAUUGCACAAUGGGGGGAACCCUGAUGCAGCGACGCCGCGUGGGUAAAGAAGCGCCUCGGCGCGUAAAGCCCUGUCAGCAGGGAAGAAAAUGACGGUACCUGAAGAAGAAGCCCCGGCUAACUACGUGCCAGCAGCCGCGGUAAUACGGAGGAUGCGCGCGUUAUCCGGAUUUAUUGGGUUUAAAGGGUGCGCAGGCGGCGUGUCAAGUCAGCGGUAAAAUGUCGGGGCUCAACCCCGGCCGGCCGUUGAAACUGGCGUGCUCGAGUUGGAGAGAAGUAUGCGGAAUUCGUGGUGUAGCGGUGAAAUGCAUAGAUAUCACGAAGAACCCCGAUUGCGAAGGCAGCAUACCGGCUCCACACUGACGCUGAGGCACGAAAGCGUGGGUAUCGAACAGGAUUAGAUACCCGAGUA